AACUUUUAACAAUGGAUCUCUUGGCUCUCGCAUCGAUGAAGAACGCAGCGAAAUGCGAUAAGUAAUGUGAAUUGCACAAUUCAGUGAAUCAUCGAAUCUUUGAACGCACCUUGCGCUCCUUGGUAUUCCGAGGAGCAUGCCUGUUUGAGUGUCAUUAAUAUAUAUCAAACUUCUCUUGUUGAGUUGUUUGGAUGUGGGGGUUUGCUGGCCUCUUAAAGGGGUUCAGCUCUCCUGAAAUGCAUUAGCAGAACAACCUGUUCAUUGGUGUGAUAAACUAUCUACGCUAUUGAAUGUGAAGGGAAGUUCAGCUUUCUAACAGUCUUUGGACAAAUUCAUCAUUAAUGUGACCUCAAAUCAGGUGGGACUACCCGCUGAACUUAAGCAUAUCAAUAAGCGGAGGCU
rnacentral:misc_RNA from 1 species